GAGGAUUGAAUGAUGAGUUCAUAGUUCAGCAGAUAACUGAUGAAGAUUUGAGCUUUUAGUCUUUCGCUCCUAUCUGACAUUUCCU